UCUGAACUAGACUGUGCCGGAGCGACAUUUUGACAAUUAUGAGAAAGAAUGAGACAACUUGGACACGAAAAGACGAGCACCUGGUGUCAUUCCCGGCUUUCAGAGGUCCGUUCAUAUAAGUUUUAUUGCUAUUACGCAUCUGUUUCGGCCGCGCUGUGUUUCACGUCUACUGCGACCGAGAUCAUACAACCGAGUGACCUAUACUUUGAGCACCGUCCCACACCGUCUAGGUAGGACGCAAUCAAUCAACUCACUGCGCCUAACCAUUCGAUCGCUUUUGUCGCCUCUUAGGCCCAGCCUAGGUUGCCGGGGACCUAUUCUAGCAAGGAAUCUCCAUGGGGGCUUCAUGUUAUGACUACAUCAUGUACAUGUAUGUAUUAUAUACUUAUGUAUUGUCCACUGCGUGAAUUUUCUCGCAUACUUUCACGUUAAUCCCAUAUGGAAAAUCUUUGAGAACCAAGCUUUUGAUAAUAUUGCCACCGUGUCUGGUGAUGAUUGAGCUUCGUCAGCUGCCAAGAACAUGUAGUAAUUGCAGAAACUGACGCCACGGACUCGAUGCCCCUGACAUGCUUUUCUCCAAGAAUGAUACGUGUGUGACAUAUUGACAGGUUUACGGCGUGCUCGAGGUCUGCACAAUAACAAUAUCACGUCUGUAAGUAAACAAACGGGAACAAUUAAAGCGUAACCGUUGUCACCAAAAACGGUAAAACAUUUUUCUUAUCACAAGUGUGACAAGAUUGUAAUGUAUUUACGUAAAAUUCCUCGGCAGUGUUACAGGGUGUCCUAAUGUUAAAGUCAGCCCUCGUUCAUAGGAACGACACAUGUAUACAAGGGCGGAUCCAGCAUUUUUAUUCUCUACAACGAACUUCAAUUGGAUUUCAAAAAAAGGGGGGUGGGGGGUCCGGAUCUGGCAGUUUCGAUAUUAGGAUUGUUGAAAAUAUAUUCUCGUCACAAACACAUCAAAUGAUGUAAUGUUACCAGUUUGAUAUAUAAACAUACAAAUAAAAUACAAUGAAAUAAUACUUGCAAACCAAUGCCUAGCCAAUAUAAUAUACAAGCGAGUUGAAGUCUUUCAUAUUCUGAUUCAUAUGCGUCAUCUGUAACCUACGCCGUAGAUUGAAAUAAUAGAUGAUUGUCUAACCCUUUCUUUAAUAUUAGCUUAACCGGAUACAUGUAUCAACUUAUAUGUGCAUAUGUAUAUCAUACUGGAAACAUUGGUCGCCAUGUCUCGGAUUGCGUUUAGGGAUAACAUCAUAACAGACGUGAUGAAUGUUUCAUAAUUUGGCAAUCUUUUUUAAAUGAGUUAUUAUGAAAGGUUCUUUGUUCGUGUUUUCUGUUUGUUCACCAGAAUCUAUCCAAUGUCAUCUGUCUCGAGACUGAAACGCUGGAAGGAAGCGAGUGAUGCGAUAUGAAGCUAUGUAAAGAAACGUUCGUGAGUGGGUGUUAUGAAUGAAGAACAUGAAACGGUGCUAUCAUAGU